UCUGCUCAGGACGAACGCUGGCGGCGUGCCUAAUACAUGCAAGUCGAGCGGACAGAAGGGAGCUUGCUCCCGGAUGUUAGCGGCGGACGGGUGAGUAACACGUGGGUAACCUGCCUGUAAGACUGGGAUAACUCCGGGAAACCGGAGCUAAUACCGGAUAGUUCCUUGAACCGCAUGGUUCAAGGAUGAAAGACGGUUUCGGCUGUCACUUACAGAUGGACCCGCGGCGCAUUAGCUAGUUGGUGAGGUAACGGCUCACCAAGGCGACGAUGCGUAGCCGACCUGAGAGGGUGAUCGGCCACACUGGGACUGAGACACGGCCCAGACUCCUACGGGAGGCAGCAGUAGGGAAUCUUCCGCAAUGGACGAAAGUCUGACGGAGCAACGCCGCGUGAGUGAUGAAGGUUUUCGGAUCGUAAAGCUCUGUUGUUAGGGAAGAACAAGUGCAAGAGUAACUGCUUGCACCUUGACGGUACCUAACCAGAAAGCCACGGCUAACUACGUGCCAGCAGCCGCGGUAAUACGUAGGUGGCAAGCGUUGUCCGGAAUUAUUGGGCGUAAAGGGCUCGCAGGCGGUUUCUUAAGUCUGAUGUGAAAGCCCCCGGCUCAACCGGGGAGGGUCAUUGGAAACUGGGAAACUUGAGUGCAGAAGAGGAGAGUGGAAUUCCACGUGUAGCGGUGAAAUGCGUAGAGAUGUGGAGGAACACCAGUGGCGAAGGCGACUCUCUGGUCUGUAACUGACGCUGAGGAGCGAAAGCGUGGGGAGCGAACAGGAUUAGAUACCCUGGUAGUCCACGCCGUAAACGAUGAGUGCUAAGUGUUAGGGGGUUUCCGCCCCUUAGUGCUGCAGCUAACGCAUUAAGCACUCCGCCUGGGGAG
rnacentral:rRNA from 1 species